rnacentral:rRNA from 1 species
CCUACGGGCGGCAGCAGUGAGGAAUAUUGGUCAAUGGACGAGAGUCUGAACCAGCCAAGUAGCGUGAAGGAUGACUGCCCUAUGGGUUGUAAACUUCUUUUAUAUGGGAAUAAAAUGGUCCACGUGUGGGAUGUUGUAUGUACCAUAUGCAUAAGGAUCGGCUAACUCCGUGCCAGCAGCCGCGGUAAUACGGAGGAUCCGAGUGUUAUCCGGAUUUACUGGGUUUAAAGGGAGCGUAGGUGGAUUGUUAAGUCAGUUGUGAAAGUUUGCGGCUCAACCGUAAAAUUGCAGUUGAAACUGGCAGUCUUGAGUACAGUAGAGGUGGGCGGAAUUCGUGGUGUAGCGGUGAAAUGCUUAGAUAUCACGAAGAACCCCGAUUGCGAAGGCAGCUUACUAAACUGUGACUGACAUUGAUGCUCGAAAGUGUGGGUAUCAAACAGGAUUAGAUACCCUAGUAGUC